rnacentral:rRNA from 1 species
CCUACGUGAGGCAGCAGUGGGGAAUAUUGCACAAUGGGGGAAACCCUGAUGCAGCGACGCCGCGUGAGUGAAGAAGUAUUUCGGUACUUAGAGCUCUAUCAGCAGGGAAGAAACUGACGGUACCUGACUACGAAGCCCCGGCUAACUACGUGCCAGCAGCCGCGGUACUACGUAGGGGGCAAGCGUUAUCCGGAUUUACUGGGUGUAAAGGGAGCGUAGACGGCAGCGCAAGUCUGGAGGGAAAUCCCAUGGCUUAACCAUGGAACUGCUUUGGAAACUGUGCAGCUAGAGUGCAGGAGAGGUAAGCGGAAUUCCUAGUGUAGCGGUGAAAUGCGUAGAUAUUAGGAGGAACACCAGUGGCGAAGGCGGCUGACUGGACUGUAACUGACGUUGAGGCUCGAAAGCGUGGGGAGCAAACAGGAUUAGAUACCCCAGUAGUC